GAACCUUGAAUCGCUCACGUAGUGAACUUGUUAUUACCAGAACCGAUCGAUGUUACGUCAAAUGUGCAUAACGAUGUCCUGGGAAAACGAAUGGAGCGUGAAAUGUUGAAGAUAUGGUUUAGUUUUACCUUGAAGAGCUACAAGAACUGGAGAGAUCAUCGUCGUAUUAAGAGAGUCAAACGAAGCGACUCCAAGAGAUAAAAAAGAAAAA
rnacentral:lncRNA from 1 species